rnacentral:rRNA from 1 species
UAGAGUUUGAUCCUGGCUCAGGAUGAACGCUAGCUACAGGCUUAACACAUGCAAGUCGAGGGGCAGCAUCAUCAAAGCUUGCUUUGAUGGAUGGCGACCGGCGCACGGGUGAGUAACACGUAUCCAACCUGCCGACAACACUGGGAUAGCCUUUCGAAAGAAAGAUUAAUACCGGAUGGCAUAGUUUUCCCGCAUGGGAUAAUUAUUAAAGAAUUUCGGUUGUCGAUGGGGAUGCGUUCCAUUAGGCAGUUGGCGGGGUAACGGCCCACCAAACCAACGAUGGAUAGGGGUUCUGAGAGGAAGGUCCCGCACAUUGGAACUGAGACACGGUCCAAACUCCUACGGGAGGCAGCAGUGAGGAAUAUUGGUCAAUGGACGAGAGUCUGAACCAGCCAAGUAGCGUGAAGGAUGACUGCCCUAUGGGUUGUAAACUUCUUUUAUACGGGAAUAAAGUUAGCCACGUGUGGCUUUUUGUAUGUACCGUAUGAAUAAGGAUCGGCUAACUCCGUGCCAGCAGCCGCGGUAAUACGGAGGAUCCGAGCGUUAUCCGGAUUUAUUGGGUUUAAAGGGAGCGUAGGCGGGUUGUUAAGUCAGUUGUGAAAGUUUGCGGCUCAACCGUAAAAUUGCAGUUGAUACUGGCGACCUUGAGUGCAACAGAGGUAGGCGGAAUUCGUGGUGUAGCGGUGAAAUGCUUAGAUAUCACGAAGAACUCCGAUUGCGAAGGCAGCUUACUGGAUUGUAACUGACGCUGAUGCUCGAAAGUGUGGGUAUCAAACAGGAUUAGAUACCCUGGUAGUCCACACAGUAAACGAUGAAUACUCGCUGUUGGCGAUAUACAGUCAGCGGCCAAGCGAAAGCAUUAAGUAUUCCACCUGGGGAGUACGCCGGCAACGGUGAAACUCAAAGGAAUUGACGGGGGCCCGCACAAGCGGAGGAACAUGUGGUUUAAUUCGAUGAUACGCGAGGAACCUUACCCGGGCUUAAAUUGCAACUGACUGAACCGGAAACGGUUCUUUCUUCGGACAGUUGUGAAGGUGCUGCAUGGUUGUCGUCAGCUCGUGCCGUGAGGUGUCGGCUUAAGUGCCAUAACGAGCGCAACCCUUAUCGAUAGUUACUAGCAGGUCAUGCUGAGGACUCUAUUGAGACUGCCGUCGUAAGAUGUGAGGAAGGUGGGGAUGACGUCAAAUCAGCACGGCCCUUACGUCCGGGGCUACACACGUGUUACAAUGGGGGGUACAGAAGGCAGCUACACGGCGACGUGGUGCUAAUCCCGAAAGCCUCUCUCAGUUCGGAUUGGAGUCUGCAACCCGACUCCAUGAAGCUGGAUUCGCUAGUAAUCGCGCAUCAGCCACGGCGCGGUGAAUACGUUCCCGGGCCUUGCACACACCGCCCGUCA